AGGUAAGUUGGCAGAAUAGUGCCAUCGAUUUAGGAUCGAUUCAUGGAUAACUCCACUUACC
rnacentral:tRNA from 1 species